UACGUAGGGCGCAAGCGUUAUCCGGAAUUAUUGGGCGUAAAGAGCUCGUAGGCGGCUUGUUGCGUCAGCUGUGAAACCCGCAGCUCAACUGUGGGCUUGCAGCUGAUACGGGCGGACUAGAGUUCGGUAGGGGAGACUGGAAUUCCUGGUGUAGCGGUGAAUGCGCAGAUAUCAGGAGGAACACCGGUGGCGAAGGCGGCCUGCUGGGCAGUUACUGACACUGAGGCGCGAAAGCAUGGGGAGCGAACAGG
rnacentral:rRNA from 1 species